UUUUUCGUGUCCUCUUCUAUAUAUAGUCUUCUCUGUUUUGCAGAUUCUCUUACGAAAAACAAGCGUUGCUCUGAUAAGGUUUUGGUGACCGGUGAGUGGUACUGUGCUGUGCUGAAAAUGGCGGCAGAGAAGUCAACCAUUGCAAAGGAUGUCACUGAAUUAAUUGGCAAAACUCCAUUGGUAUAUCUCAAUCAUGUUGUGGAUGGCUGUGUUGCCAAGAUUGCUGCAAAGCUAGAAAUGAUGGAACCAUGCUCCAGUGUCAAAGACAGGAUAGGAUAUAGCAUGAUUGCAGAUGCUGAGGAGCAGGGACUCAUUAAACCGGGUGAAAGUAUCCUCAUUGAGCCUACCAGUGGAAACACUGGCAUAGGUUUGGCAUUCAUGGCGGCUGCUAAGGGUUAUAAACUUAUUAUAACCAUGCCUUCUUCAAUGAGUCUGGAAAGAAGAACCAUUCUUCGAGCUUUUGGAGCUGAGUUAGUUCUCACAGAUCCUGCCAAGGGUAUGAAAGGAGCAGUUCAGAAGGCAGAAGAGAUAAGGGCAAAGACUCCCAAUUCUUAUAUGCUGCAACAGUUUGAGAAUCCAGCCAACCCAAAGAUCCAUUAUGAAACCACUGGACCGGAGAUUUGGAAGGGCUCCGGUGGGAAGGUUGAUGCUCUUGUUUCUGGGAUUGGGACUGGAGGUACAGUAACAGGGGCUGGGAAAUAUCUGAAAGAGCAGAACCCCGAUAUAAAGGUUAGGCUUUUAAUAUUCUUAUUGUGUGUUAAAUUGUUAAUCUUUCUAAUGUUACCCCUGUAUUGUUUGUGAUUUUCCCCCCUUUUCCUUAGCUAUAUGGCAUUGAACCAGUAGAAAGUCCAGUACUGUCUGGAGGGAAGCCUGGUGAGUAUUGCUUUCUGAUGCAUUUUACUUGUUGUAACCUUCUCUGAUUAUUUCUUUUGUUAAUGCAUUGAAUUUAGCAUUCUUUCUUACAUUUUGUUAAGGCUAUUUCUUUUUUCAAGUCACAUUCUGGCUCAACUUUUAAUGUCUUUUGAUUUUCUACAGACCAUAUGGUCUUUCAUGUGCCUUUUUCUUUAAACCAUAUGCAAAUCUAAUUUAUAGUUUCCUAUAUUUAGAGGUAUAUGUGACAAUUCACCGUUAAUGCACUGAAAAAAUUAUUCAAUCAUGAGCUUAUUGGGCAUUUGCAAGUUGUUAAUGCAUGAAUUGCUCUCCACUUGCUGUGCUUUGACUGCUUUCUUGGAGAGUGAAUAUAGGACAGGACUGCCUUUACCUGCCUGCUUACAUCGGUUCCCCUUCUAAAAUUAGAAGGAAUACACACACAUGCACUGUUUUACUGUUUAAAUUUGUCAAAUACUUGACUCCUUUUGUGUAACUUUCCUCUAAAAAAUGCAUGGCUGUUAAACGAAUAUAAGGCCCUCAUAAGAUCCAAGGAAUUGGUGCUGGCUUCAUCCCUGGUGUUCUGGAUGUUGAUUUACUUGAUGAAGUUAUUCAAGUAAGCCACAAACCUUUUGAUAAUUUUUUUGUAGUAGUUUUUUUUGGCUUGCAUGAUAAUCUGGUGUGCCUUCAUUCUUACUUCUUUGAAAAAUCCAAUUUUGUACUCUGCCUAUGUGCAAAACUAGAUAAGAAGAGAAUAUAGUGAGCAUGUAAAUAAAUCAAAAUUUUAAUUCUAGUAUUAGUAUCUCAUUAUUAAGUGUCAACUAGACCGAUGGGAAUAAAUUUUGAAUUAUUUUGAGCAAAAUUAAAUACUGUAAUUUUUAUUAGCAUGAGUAUGCAAUCCGUUUUAUUAUCACUUUUCCCUCUCGAUUCAAUGAAGUGAAGGCAAGAAGUGUGUUAAUUCACUUCAUAUGCGAGGAAGCGUCACUAACCAAGAGUUAUGAUAAUUUAUCCAUGCAUUCUGAAAGUACAGACAGUAACUCAUUUUUGUGUAUGAUUUUAGAUUUCAAGUGAAGAAGCUAUUGAAACUGCUAAACUUCUUGCUUUGAAAGAAGGUUUGCUGGUGGGGAUAUCAUCGGGUGCUGCCGCUGCCGCAGCAAUUAAGAUAGCAAAGAGGCCAGAAAAUGCUGGAAAACUCAUUGUUGUAAGUGGUCUUUCCAAGCUUUGGAGAGCGUUAUUUAUCAUCUGUGCUUUUUGAAUCUGUGAAGCGAGAAGCAGAGAGCUUGGUCUUUGAGUCUUGAAUAAGAAGCCAUAAUAUAGUCUUCUGCCGAUCGUGUAUGGAGUACUGAGGCAUUUGCUACUUCUCAAGUUGCUUUGUCUCUUUGGGUUGUGUGUAUCUAUUUUUUCCUUGCAAAUCUGAAAAAUAAAUAUGCUUUUCUGUUCUCAUGUUAACUGACUAAGAUUCAGUAAUAGUGUAAGUUAGAGGGUGGAAUGUUCGAACUUGAUCAUAAUUAUUGAUUACUUGCAGCAUGAUGGAAAGACCAAAUGCCUGUCUUAGUUUAUUUGCUGGUUAAAUCCUGGUUUUUGAA